AUUUGAAAGAGACAUAUUGGACAGAAAUGACAUACGUGAAAGCUAAGAUACAAUAUAUUUAAUUUUCUAAGAAUUCAGUUCAAGGUAGUCUGCCUGGUUUCUCAAGUUCUGCAUGUUUCUUCAGUAGACUAAAUAAUGAUAAGGAAGCUGAGAUGUAGAGCUGAAGUGUCUUGCCCAAGAUCAUUUGUCUAUUUUGCUAAUUUCUUUAAUAUCAGAAGACAGCUGGAUUCUCAUUUCUGCUUCUGCAUUCAGUCUAUUGUGAUAUAGCAUAUCAUGUAACUUCUGAAAAACUUCACUGUACACAGAUGCUGACCUCACAGACUCCCUGAAAGGAUCUCCAUGACCUCUAUGGUUCCUUAGACUGCACUUUGAGAACUAUUGACGUACAGGGAAAAAUGCUCUUGGUGUUCCAGUUAAGCACAGAAUAAAAUCUGGACUGUGUCAGUUUGUAAAGAUCUUAUGUCUACUUGGUCAUCAGCCAAGAAGGGAUUCCGAAGAUAGAAGAGGAGGCAUCAACACCGUGAACAUCAUGGCUGAGUUAUUUUGUGAGAGGGAUAAGCCUAAAGUAAAAACCUUGGAUUUGCCUCUGUCCUUGAACAUGCUAUCUGGAAAGAGUUUUCUUAAAAGUAUUGUUGUGAACACAUCCAUUUUCCCAGUAUAGUUGAAUGCAGGGUUUAAUAAAUGGAAUGAAUC
rnacentral:lncRNA from 1 species